CGCCACUGGAUUGUCUGCUGAAACAAUUAUUCCCUCAGCUGGGACAACUCCUCCGGUCCUUUUCCCUAACUCCAAAACGGAAAAAAAAAAAGAAGGAAAUUUCCAUUCUGGGCUUGGAAAAUUUUUAGUCUUUGAAGCUGUUCAUCAUCUGGUUUGUGGAGUUCCAAGAAAAUGAGAAUCUAAAUUAAGCUGUGGAUGCUGAAGACUGGUUUUAGCAUGCCUGGAUGCAAAGGUAUAAAAUCGAAGGAUUGCUUUAGCUGUCAUUGUUUUGGUGUAGAAGGCAGGGUGGGAACACAUAAGUUCAAAGGCUUGAGAAAGUGCUGAACCUAGCUGCCUCGGAAAUGAGCGGUUGGCAAAACCACCAUCACAGUGAAGCAUUGGUGUUUUGUUGCAGAUGUCUUCUCUUAGAAUAUGGAGACAAGUAUUACAUGUAUAAAAUCUAGCAUGAACUUUUCACCAUCUGACUGUACAGUAUCCCUCUUCCACAUGUAGCAUUCACUCUCUGUAAAUAAUACUGUUACCUAUUAAGAAAACUCGGAAUCUGGUAAUUGAGCACCCGAGCGAUAGGUCACUUGUGGAAAUUGAAGUUUAAUCAAGAUGUGCAUGUAGAUCAAAUCUUGAAAAAUGUACUUUUCUUUCCCAUUAA